rnacentral:rRNA from 1 species
ACAGCAGUCGCCACGGUAAUACAGAGGGUGCGAGCGUUAAUCGGAUUUACUGGGCGUAAAGCGUGCGUAGGCGGCUUCUUAAGUCGGAUUUGAAAUCCCUGAGCUUAACUUAGGAAUUGCAUUCGAUACUGGGAAGCUAGAGUAUGGGAGAGGAUGGUAGAAUUCCAGGUGUAGCGGUGAAAUGCGUAGAGAUCUGGAGGAAUACCGAUGGCGAAGGCAGCCAUCUGGCCUAAUACUGACGCUGAGGUACGAAAGCAUGGGGAGCAAACAGGAUUAGAUACCCCAGUAGUCCCUGUCUCUUAUAA